UACGGGGGGGGCAAGCGUUGUUCGGAAUUACUGGGCGUAAAGGGUUCGUAGGUGGCCUGCUAAGUCAGACGUGAAAUUCCUCAGCUUAACUGGGGAACUGCGUCUGAGACUGGCGGGCUUGAGUGCAGGAGAGGAACGCGGAAUUCCAGGUGUAGCGGUGAAAUGCGUAGAUAUCUGGAGGAACACCGGUGGCGAAGGCGGCGUUCUGGACUGUUACUGACACUGAGGAACGAAAGCCAGGGGAGCAAACGGG
rnacentral:rRNA from 1 species